GGGAGGGGCUGGACGCACACUAGGGUGGAUGGAGCCCCCAAAGAAGUGGCCUUCCUUGGGGAGCCUCUUGCAUUUGCCCCGGUGUGCUAUAUACACAGACUCGCUUUCUUUGUCAUGAUGUGACAAAGUUUGGGAAGCUCUGUUAGAAUAGACUUAAUUCAGUAUAUUGGGGAGUAUACUGAUGUUGAACUCAUGUACUAUCCACCCAUGUUUUUUCACACUUCUCAACAGAACGAAACGAAUGGAUAAAACAAUAUUUAUAGAGUAAAUUUCAUUUUUGUUUAUCACCGUUAGUUCCCAUCAAAAGAAUCAGCAAAUCUCAAGAGGGGUUUAGGGCAAAAGCUGCUGAUGUGUUGGAGCUCACCUUGAGUGCGUAGUUCUCUGCCUACACUUAGUGGCAUAUGAAGCAUCUGUAGCUUCCUUCUCUGCUGUCCCUCACUGCCCCUUCCAAGCUUGGUCCAAGACGAGAAAACUAAGGCACAGAAAGAUUAAAGCAACUUGUUUGAAGUCACAUUGCCUAUGAAUGGAGGCGCUAAGUUUCAAACCCCUGCAGAGUAGCUCUGGAGCCUGUGCCCCUAAAUUCUAAGCUGUUACAAUGGCCAUUGUAUAGUCGUGAACAUGGAAACAUACAGAAAAGAGCUCACAUCCAAACCCUGCAAACCUACCAGAAGCGGGCAAACUGAUUUUGGGACCCACUACUUCAGAGCAAGAAGGUAAAAGCUAUUUCAGGGUAACUGGACUUCAGGAGCCCUCAAUAUUGAACAAUGUCAAGUGUUUGUCCUUCCUUCCAUCCAUGGCAUGUUUUCUCAAAUUAAAGAACAUUUAAAAAUUGU